UUUUAUCUAUUUUUUUGCAUGCAUAUUAUUUAAUUUGUUUUUUAGGACCCAUUUUGGUGGGUUUAUUUCUUUCCUUUUUUUUUUAUAUAAUUAAUCCUGAUAGUUAUUGCAUAUUUUGUUUAUUUUAUUAAUAAAUGGGUAUGAGGAGGUUAGCAUUGAUGGGAAAGUUUGCUAAUGUCAUGUAAUUUGGAAACGGCGUAGGUUGGAGCAGAUGAGUCUUCUUCUGAUGAGAAACCUUUUAGCAACAGAGGAAGAAACUCGCAGCGGAAUUCACGAGGGUGGUUUCCAAGUUAUCCCAACAGCACGGGUAACAUUUUUUGGUCUUCUUCUGAUGAGAAACCUUUUAGCAACAGAGGAAGAAACUCGCAGCCGAAUUCACGAGGGUGGUUUCCAAGUUAUCCCAACAGUGCGGGUAACAUUUUUUGCCAGAGGGAACCAUUAGAAAAUAAGUCAUUAGAAGAUAGCAUGUCCAGUACGGGAAGGAUCCU
rnacentral:lncRNA from 1 species